rnacentral:rRNA from 1 species
GAUGAACGCUGGCGGCGUGCCUAAUACAUGCAAGUCGAGCGAACAGACGAGGAGCUUGCUCCUCUGGCGUUAGCGGCGGACGGGUGAGUAACACGUGGAUAACCUACCUAUAAGACUGGGAUAACUUCGGGAAACCGGAGCUAAUACCGGAUAAUAUAUUGAACCGCAUGGUUCAAUAGUGAAAGACGGUUUUGCUGUCACUUAUAGAUGGAUCCGCGCCGCAUUAGCUAGUUGGUAAGGUAACGGCUUACCAAGGCAACGAUGCGUAGCCGACCUGAGAGGGUGAUCGGUCACACUGGAACUGAGACACGGUCCAGACUCCUACGGGAGGCAGCAGUAGGGAAUCUUCCGCAAUGGGCGAAAGCCUGACGGAGCAACGCCGCGUGAGUGAUGAAGGUCUUCGGAUCGUAAAACUCUGUUAUUAGGGAAGAACAAAUGUGUAAGUAACUAUGCACGUCUUGACGGUACCUAAUCAGAAAGCCACGGCUAACUACGUG